rnacentral:rRNA from 1 species
ACUCAAAGGAAUAGACGGGGGCUCACACAAGCGGUGGAGUAUGUGGUUCAAUUCGAAGCAACGCGAAGAACCUUACCAAGCCUAGACAUCAGGAUGUAACUCCCUGAAAGGGGAGCCAACUCGCAAGAGAAAUCCUGUGCAGGUGUUGCAUGGCUGUCGUCAGCUCGUGUCGUGAGAUGUCGGGUUAAGUCCCAUAACGAGCGAAACCCCUGCCGUUAGUUGCUAACAGGUGAUGCUGAGCACUCUAGCGGGACUGCCUCGUAAGACGGAGGAAGGUGGGGACGACGUCAAGUCAUCAUGGCCUUUAUGGCUUGGGCUACACACGUACUACAAUGGUCGGUACAAAGGGAUCCGAUGCCGCGAGGCGGGGGAAAUCUCAGAAAGCCGACCUCAGUUCGGAUUGAAGGCUGCAACUCGCCUUCAUGAAGCUGGAAUCGCUAGUAAUCGCGGGUCAGCCAUACCGCGGUGAAUAUGUUCCUGAGCCUUGUACACACCGCCCGU